GACGAACGCUGGCGGCGUGCUUAACACAUGCAAGUCGAACGGGAUUUAGUAGACAGAAGCCUCGGCUAGAGAUUACUAAUGAGAGUGGCGAACGGGGGAGUAACGCGUGAGCAACCUGCCUAUGACAGUGGGAUAGCCUCGGGAAACCGGGAUUAAUACCGCAUAAAAUCGUAGAAACACAUGUUUCAACGGUCAAAGAUUUAUCGGUCAUAGAUGGGCUCGCGUCUGAUUAGCUAGUUGGUGAGAUAACAGCCCACCAAGGCGACGAUCAGUAGCCGGUCUGGGAGGAUGAACGGCCACAUUGGAACUGAGACACGGUCCACACUCCUACGGGAGGCAGCAGUGGGGAAUAUUGCACAAUGGGGGAAACCCUGAUGCAGCGACGCCGCGUGAACGAAGAAGGUAUUCGUAUCGUAAAGUUCUGUCCUAUGGGAAGAUAAUGACAGUACCAUAGAAGAAAGCUCCGGCUAAAUACGUG
rnacentral:rRNA from 1 species